UCUUCACAUCCAAUAAUGUCUGGACUUUCUGAAGAUGUAAUAGGACUGGAAAACUAAUCUUGGAACAAAUUUUUCAAAGCAAAACACACCCGGGAUUUACUCAGGACCUGAUCCAAAUUCCCCUGGGAUAGUCAAGAGCCAGUUGGUGGCUUCAGCCUCAUUUGACUCUCCUGUGCUGUCUGCAGUUGUUCCAAGCUCAGCUGAUCCUCUCACGCUGGCUCAAGGAAAGUGAUCAUAAUCCUCAAAGUGUUCCAGGGAGGAUAAGAGCAGGAUUUGAUGCUACAGGAGUUCACCUUCUUUACAACAUCUUUUGGGAUUUGUCUCAAAGAGGCCAGACAAGCUGGAAGUGACUUUUUGGAAGCCGCCUCAUGACUUUCUGCCUGGAUUGCAUGUGAUGUGAGUAUGUCUCUCCUCGUACCCAUAACCUCUGAAGACUGGCAACAGGAUGUCAUACACCUGUUUUGCUCAAGGCUGGGACUCGGAGCCCUGCGCGAGGUUGUGUCGGCAUUGGCUCGCUCGCCGCUUUGCUCAACGUAUAUGUCAGAAUGUCAGAUGAUCGUUGUUGUAUCUGCAGCUGUUGCAUGAGCACAGUGCCAGGGGCACAACUUUCCUGCAGUGAGCUUUAAUUUGCUCUCCCCUCCCUGAAGAGCUCCCGCGCUUCACCUUGCUGCUGCUACUGCUGCUGCUGCUGCAGCUGGAGGAGAGCUCAGCCCGCGUGCAGCUGAGGCUGCGGCAGGGAGGGA